GACGAACGCUGGCGGCGUGCUUAACACAUGCAAGUCGAACGGAAAGGCCCUGCUUUUGUGGGGUGCUCGAGUGGCGAACGGGUGAGUAGCACGUGAGUAACCUGCCCUUGACUUUGGGAUAACUUCAGGAAACUGGGGCUAAUACCGGAUAGGAGCUCCUGCUGCAUGGUGGGGGUUGGAAAUUUUCGGCGGUUGGGGAUGGACUCGCGGCUUAUCAGCUUGUUGGUGGGGUAGUGGCUUACCAAGGCUUUGACGGGUAGCCGGCCUGAGAGGGUGACCGGCCACAUUGGGACUGAGAGACGGCCCAGACUCCUACGGGAGGCAGCAGUGGGGAAUAUUGCACAAUGGGAGGAAGCCUGAGGCAGAAACGCCGCGUGCGGGAUGACGGCCUUCGGGUUGUAAACCGCUUUCGCCUGUGACGAAGCGUGAGUGACGGUAAUGGGUAAAGAAGCACCGGCUAACUACGUG
rnacentral:rRNA from 1 species